rnacentral:rRNA from 1 species
GAUGAACGCUGGCGGCGUGCCUAAUACAUGCAAGUCGAGCGAACAGACGAGGAGCUUGCUCCUCUGACGUUAGCGGCGGACGGGUGAGUAACACGUGGAUAACCUACCUAUAAGACUGGGAUAACUUCGGGAAACCGGAGCUAAUACCGGAUCAUAUAUUGAACCGCAUGGUUCAAUAGUGAAAGACGGUUUUGCUGUCACUUAUAGCUGGAUCCGCGCCGCAUUAGCUAGUUGGUAAGGUAACGGCUUACCAAGGCAACGAUGCGUAGCCGACCUGAGAGGGUGAUCGGCCACACUGGAACUGAGACACGGUCCAGACUCCUACGGGAGGCAGCAGUAGGGAAUCUUCCGCAAUGGGCGAAAGCCUGACGGAGCAACGCCGCGUGAGUGAUGAAGGUCUUCGGAUCGUAAAACUCUGUUAUUAGGGAAGAACAAAUGUGUAAGUAACUAUGCACGUCUUGACGGUACCUAAUCAGAAAGCCACGGCUAACUACGUG